UACGGGGGGAGCAAGCGUUAUUCGGAUUCACUGGGCGUAAAGGGUGCGCAGGCGGCCAAGUGUGUGAGGCGUGAAAGCCCGGGGCUUAACCCCGGAAUUGCACCUCAAACUACAUGGCUAGAGCAUUGGAGAGGGUAGCAGAAUUCAUGGUGUAGCAGUGAAAUGCGUAGAUAUCAUGAGGAAUACCAGAGGCGAAGGCGGCUACCUGGACAAUUGCUGACGCUCAGGCACGAAAGCGUGGGGAGCAAAAGGG
rnacentral:rRNA from 1 species